rnacentral:rRNA from 1 species
AUUGAACGCUGGCGGCAGGCCUAACACAUGCAAGUCGAGCGGAGCGGCGGACGGGCGAGUAAGGCCUAGGAAUCUGCCUGGUAGGGGGGGAUAGCGUCCGGCAACGGGCGCUAACACCUCAUACUAUCAAUUGAGUCUACGUCGGAGUGGCUAGUUGGUGGGUUAAAGGCCCACUAAGGCGACGAUCCGUACCUGGUCUGAGAGGAUGAUCAGUCACACUGGAACUGAGACACGGUCCAGACUCCUACGGGAGGCAGCAGUGGGGAAUAUUGGACAAUGGGCGAAAGCCUGAUCCAGCCAUGCCGCGUGUGUGAAGAAGGUCUUCGGGUUGUAAAGCACUUUAAGUUGGGAGGCGUUACCCACAGAAUAAGCACCGGCUAACUUCGUGCCAGCAGCCGCGGUAAUUC